UCCCAACUGAAAUUAAAUCAUGGCUCCACAAUUUUUCAAGUACUUCUCAUCAUGUCAAAGGUUUCUAACUUCAUACAUGAAAGUCAAGUCAGUCUACAUAUAUUAUACAUGCUUCUCCACAAUGGCAGCAAUCUCACAAUCAUCAUCAGGGGUGUCUCCCAAACUAUAAUGAGAACUUUGCACUGAAAAAGGUGUCUUGAGAAUUAGGCUACAUUUUGGUGUUAAAUAGUUACCAUGAAUGGCUUCAUUCUAGGAACCAGAAGAUGCUUAAAUUGCUGUCCUGGUUGAAACUCUUUUUCGAUGAUAAGUCAAAUUAUCAGGUUCUUUCCUGGUUGAAACUCUUCGAGAAUAAGUCAAAUUAUCAGGUUCUUUCCUUUUUCUCUGUUCUUUGUGUUCAUUAGAACCAACAGAUGGU
rnacentral:lncRNA from 1 species